rnacentral:rRNA from 1 species
GAAUACCGAGUGUAGAGGUGAAAUUCGUAGAUAUUCGGUGGAACACCAGUGGCGAAGGCGACUGACUGGUCCACUUUCUGACGCUGAGGUGCGAAAGUGUGGGGAGCAAACAGGAUUAGAUACCCUGGUUAGUCCACACCGUAAACGAUGAGAGCUAGUUGUCGGACAGAGCUUGCCUGUCGGUGACGCAGCUAACGCAUUAAGCUCUCCGCCUGGGGAGUACGGCCGCAAGGUUAAAACUCAAAGAAAUUGACGGGGGCCCGCACAAGCGGUGGAGCAUGUGGUUUAAUUCGAAGCAACGCGCAGAACCUUACCCACGUUUGACAUG